rnacentral:rRNA from 1 species
AUUGAACGCUGGCGGCAGGCUUAACACAUGCAAGUCGAGCGCGCGGCGGACGGGUGAGUAAUGUCUGGGAAACUGCCUGAUGGAGGGGGAUAACUACUGGAAACGGUAGCUACUACCGCAUACCAUCAGAUGUGCCCAUAUGGGAUUAGCUAGUAGGUGGGGUAAUGGCUCACAUAGGCGACGAUCCCUAGCUGGUCUGAGAGGAUGACCAGCCACACGGUAACUGAGACACGGGCCACACUCCUACGGGAGGCAACAGUGGGGAAUAUUGCACAAUGGGCGCAAGCCUGAUGCAGCAAAGCCGCGUGUGUGAAGAAGGCCUUCGGGUUGUAAAGAACUUUCAGCGAGGAGGCGUUACUCGAAGAAGAAGCACCGGCUAACUCCGUGCCAGCAGCCGCGGUAAUUC